rnacentral:rRNA from 1 species
GUCCACGCCGUAAACUUUGGGUGCUAGGUGUCGCGGGUAUUGACCCCUGCGGUGCCGCCGCUAACGCAUUAAGCACCCCGCCUGGGGAGUACGGUCGCAAGGCUAAAACUCAAAGGAAUUGACGGGGCCCGCACAAGCGGUGGAGCAUGUGGUUUAAUUCGAAGCAACGCGCAGAACCUUACCUGGGCUUGACAUCCUCGGAACCUCCUGGAAACAGGAGGGUGCCUUCGGGAACCGAGAGACAGGUGCUGCAUGGCUGUCGU